rnacentral:rRNA from 1 species
UACGUAGGGGGCUAGCGUUGUCCGGAAUCAUUGGGCGUAAAGCGCGUGUAGGCGGCUCGAUAAGUCCGCUCUGAAAGCCCGGGGCUCAACUCCGGAACUGCCUUUAAGACUGCAUCGCUUGAAUCCGGGAGAGGUGAGUGGAAUUCCGAGUGUAGAGGUGAAAUUCGUAGAUAUUCGCAAGAACACCAGUGGCGAAGGCGGCCCACUGGCUCGACACUGACGCUGAGGUGCGAAAGCGUGGGGAGCAAACAGG